UACUAGAGUAGCACUUGCAUAUCAAUAAGCGGAGGAAAAGAAACUAACAAGGAUUCCCCUAGUAACGGCGAGUGAAGUGGGAAGAGCUCAAAUUUGAAAUCUUAAAGGGUUUCCCUUUACGAAUUGUAGUUUAAAGAAGUGUUUUCUGUUGAGGUUUUGGUAAAAGUUCUUUGGAAUAGGACAUCAUAGAGGGUGAGAAUCCCGUAUUUGACCUUUACUUUCAACUUUGUGAUACACUUUCAAAGAGUCGGAUUGUUUGGGAAUGCAGUCCAAAAUGGGUGGUAAAUUUCAUCUAAAGCUAAAUAUUGGCGAGAGACCGAUAGCGAACAAGUACCGUGAGGGAAAGAUGAAAAGAACUUUGAAAAGAGAGUUAAACAGUACGUGAAAUUGUCAAAAGGGAAGCGUUUGACACCAGUGUUGUUUUUCUGAAAAUCAAUUAAAGAACUGUUUAUGCUAAGUUGUUUAGACUUUAUCAGCUAACUGUUUAGUUUUGAGCUUUUCUUUAAUGCACUUUUCAGUUAACAAGUCAACAUCAAUUUCUUUUGCUGUAAAAAAGCUUGAGGAAGGUGGCUUGAGAUUCGUCUUAAGUGUUUAUAGCCUCUUGCCUAUGCAGUCGGAGAGAUUGAGGUCUGCAGCGUAGAUCCUUCGGGGCUAAAUGCAUUUGUGCUAAGUUAUAGCAUUUUAUAGACAACUUGUUGACUAUGAUUUGUCUUGUAGCUUACUCGCUUAUGUUAUUUUACCUACGCUUAGGAUGUUGAGCGCAUGUCUCUCUCU
rnacentral:rRNA from 1 species